rnacentral:rRNA from 1 species
UAGGGAAUCUUCGGCAAUGGACGAAAGUCUGACCGAGCAACGCCGCGUGAGUGAAGAAGGUUUUCGGAUCGUAAAACUCUGUUGUUAGAGAAGAACAAGGACGUUAGUAACUGAACGUCCCCUGACGGUAUCUAACCAGAAAGCCACGGCUAACUACGUGCCAGCAGCCGCGGUAAUACGUAGGUGGCAAGCGUUGUCCGGAUUUAUUGGGCGUAAAGCGAGCGCAGGCGGUUUCUUAAGUCUGAUGUGAAAUCCUCGGGCUCAACCUGGGAACUGCAUCUGAUACUGGCAAGCUUGAGUCUCGUAGAGGGGGGUAGAAUUCCAGGUGUAGCGGUGAAAUGCGUAGAGAUCUGGAGGAAUACCGGUGGCGAAGGCGGCCCCCUGGACAAAGACUGACGCUCAGGUGCGAAAGCGUGGGGAGCAAACAGG